rnacentral:lncRNA from 1 species
GUUUGCAUUUAGGACAUUAUUUGUGAUUUUAUGGAAAAGAAAUUUGAUGUAUUUGAGGUGUGAUUUUGUGAAAAAUUAAUUUAAUGUGAUUAUGUGUAAUUUAGUGGAAUUUAAAUUUGAGGUGUGGUUUGUGGUGAUUCAAGUUUGGUGUGAUUUAUAUGUUCAUAAUUAUUAUUAUGAAUUUUUGAGAUGUGAUUUAUUUGUGGAUUUUGUAGAAAAUGAAUUGAUGAAAUUUGGUGGUUUAUGUGUAAAAAUGUGGAGUUUUGAAAUUGGGUGAGUUAUGUUUGAAUUGUUGAAAUUUAAUUGAGGUGUUAUAUGUGUGUUGUGGAAUUGAAUUGAUUGUUGUCGGUGUGAAUUGGCGAUAAUUAAAUUUGAUGAGUUUGAGUUACGUAAUGAGUUAUUUUCAAAUAAAUGAGUUUGAACUGAAAUUGAAAUUUUACAAAAAAUUAGCGUUGUUAAAGUUGUGAAAAAGUUCAAAUUUUAACUAAGUUAAAGAGUUUAAGCAAAAAGAUAGAUUGAAAUUAAAAAUGGUUAGAGUUUAAAAUGUCACUCUUUAAAUUACUUUUUGAUUGAGUUUAAAAAGAAAAAAAAGUUUAGAGUAUUUUAUUGACUCAAAAUUUUUGGUGCUUUAAUAGUCGAGUGUGUGUAUGGGAAAUUUUGACGAUAUUUGUUUUAUUUAGUUUUAAGUAAAUAAUAUAGAUUAUUUGGUUUUAAAACUUUGGUGUGUGAGAAAGAUUUAAUUUUGGAAAUUUUGGAAAUUUUGUUGUGUUUGGAUUAGUUUUAUUGUGAACAAGUUGUUAUAAAUAUUCAUGUUUAUGUAGUUAGCUCCUUGAGUCUCGAAAAGGAAUCGAGACUGUUGGCACCGAGUUAGCGGUGGGGAGAACUCUGAUAUAUUAAUGUUGUUGUGGUGAUUUAUGGUUGAAAAUUUUAGAGAUUGAAUAUGGUGAUUAAUGUUUGGAAAUUUUGGUGAUUUAUGUUAGGUGAAAUUGAUGUGUUCAUAAUUAAU